rnacentral:rRNA from 1 species
GACGAACGCUGGCGGCGUGCUUAACACAUGCAAGUCGAACGAAAAGGCGAUGAGUUUGCGGGGUGGUCGAUAGGCGAACGGGUGAGUAAAACGUGAGUAAACUGCACUUGUCAUUGGGAUAAAAUCAGGAAAAUGGGGCUAAUACAGGAUAGGAGCUACUGCAGCAUGGUGGGGGUUGGAAAGUGUCGGCGGUUGGGGAUGGAAUCGAGGCGUACCAGCUUGUUGGUGGGGUAGUGGCUUACCAAGGCUUUGACGGGUAGGCGGCCUGAGAGGGUGACCGGCGACAUUGGCACCUAGGUACGGCCCAGGCACCUACGGGUGGGAGCAGUGGGGAAUACUGCACGAUGAGCGGAAGCCUGAUGCAGCAGCGCCGCGUGCGGGAUAACGGCCUUCGGGUUGUAAACCGCUUGCGCCUGUGACGAUGCGCGUGUGACGGGAAUGGGUACAGAAGCCCCGGCUAACUUCGGG